rnacentral:rRNA from 1 species
GGGUCAGUAGGUUGGUCGUGCCACCGGUACGUACUGGUCUCACUGAUUCCUCCUUCCUGAAGGACCGUAAUGCCAUUAAUUUGGUGUUGCGGGGAAACAGGACUGUUACUUUGAAAAAAUUAGAGUGUUUAAAGCGGGCUAACGCUUGAAUACAUUAGCAUGGAAUAAUGAAAUAGGACGAUCGAUCCUAUUUUGUUGGUUUCUAGGAUUGACGUA